UCGUGUUUUCAACUUCGUGCAGUUCCAAAUAUGGCCACCCCAGUAGUGGCGCAAUUACGCAAUAUUCCGUAUUUGCAUCGCUUUCUUUCUAGGUUAUUUUAUUUAGAGGAACAUCUAGAGGAUGCUCUGCUGCAGCAUUAGGAAAAAUCAACACGAAAGAAAGUCAUGAGAAGAAGGUGGCUCGAGCCAUAAAAAUCAUUGGAGAAAAGAAAAUGGGGUAUCUGAAAGCAGCAAACUACUUUCAAGUGGACAAGAAGCUGCUGUGCUGCAGUCCAGUUUGAUACUUGCAUUUACGACUACUGUUUGGCUAAUUUACUUUUUUAUCGGGGACGACAAGAUGGAUCGAUUGCUGCAGGGCUUCUUAAACUAUGAGUCGUAAUCCUAUAUAGGAUCGUGUAACAGAGUUACGAGGUCGUGAAACUUUUAUAACUGUCACACAUCGGUGAACUAAAAAGUGUCAAUCAUCUGUCACCGAAUGAUCAAGCGAUUAAUCGACAUAGAUAUACAACAGCAUUCUUU